GGGGAUUUAGCUCAGUGGUAGAGCGCUUACCUAGGAAGUGUGAGGCCCUGGGUUCGGUCCCCAGCUCCG
rnacentral:tRNA from 1 species